GUUUGAUCCUGGCUCAGGACGAACGCUGGCGGCGUGCUUAACACAUGCAAGUCGAACGAUGAAGUUCCUUCGGGAAUGGAUUAGUGGCGAACGGGUGAGGAACACGUGAGAAACCUGCCUUUCAUUCUGGGAUAACUCCGGGAAACCGGGGCUAAAACCGAAUACUCCGUCUCGGCGGCAUCGCUGAGCCGGGAAAAAAUUUUGAUGAAAGAUGGUCUCGCGGCCUAUCAGCUAGUUGGUGAGGUAAUGGCUCACCAAGGCGACGACGGGUAGCCGGCCUGAGAGGGCGACCGGCCACACUGGGACUGAGACACGGCCCAGACUCCUACGGGAGGCAGCAGUGGGGAAUAUUGGGCAAUGGGCGCAAGCCUGACCCAGCGACGCCGCGUGAGGGAUGAAGGCCUUCGGGUUGUAAACCUCUUUCAGUAGGGAAGAAGCGAAAGUGACGGUACCUAAAGAAGAAGCACCGGCUAACUAUGUGCCAGCAGCCGCGGUAAUACAUAGGGUGCAAGCGUUGUCCGGAAUUAUUGGGCGUAAAGAGCUCGUAGGUCGUUUGCCGCGUUGAUUGUGAAAAUCUGAGGCUCAACCUCAGACCUGCAGUCGAUACGGGCAAACUAGAGUGUGGUAGGGGAGACUGGAAUUCCUGGUGUAGCGGUGGAAUGCGCAGAUAUCAGGAGGAACACCAAUGGCGAAGGCAGGUCUCUGGGCCAUAACUGACACUGAGGAGCGAAAGCGCGGGGAGCGAACAGGAUUAGAUACCCUGGUAGUCCGCGCCGUAAACGAUGGGCACUAGCUGUGAGGGCCUUCCACGGUUCUCGCGACGCAGCAAACGCAUUAAGUGCCCCGCCUGGGGAGUACGAUCGCAAGAUUAAAACUCAAAGGAAUUGACGG
rnacentral:rRNA from 1 species